rnacentral:rRNA from 1 species
UUAAGCGACUAAGCGUACACGGUGGAUGCCCUGGCAGUCAGAGGCGAUGAAGGACGUGCUAAUCUGCGAAAAGCGUCGGUAAGGUGAUAUGAACCGUUAUAACCGGCGAUGUCCGAAUGGGGAAACCCAGUGCAAUUCGUUGCACUAUCGUUAACUGAAUACAUAGGUUAACGAGGCGAACCGGGGGAACUGAAACAUCUAAGUACCCCGAGGAAAAGAAAUCAACCGAGAUUCCCCCAGUAGCGGCGAGCGAACGGGGAGCAGCCCAGAGUCUGAAUCAGCUUGUGUGUUAGUGGAACGGUCUGGAAAGUCCGACGGUACAGGGUGAUAGUCCCGUACACCAAAAUGCACAGGUUGUGAACUCGAAGAGUAGGGCGGGACACGUGGUAUCCUGUCUGAAUAUGGGGGGACCAUCCUCCAAGGCUAAAUACUCCUGACUGACCGAUAGUGAACCAGUACCGUGAGGGAAAGGCGAAAAGAACCCCGGCGAGGGGAGUGAAAAAGAACCUGAAACCGUGUACGUACAAGCAGUGGGAGCACCUUCGGGUGUGACUGCGUACCUUUUGUAUAAUGGGUCAGCGACUUAUAUUCUGUAGCAAGGUUAACCGUAUAGGGGAGCCGCAGGGAAACCGAGUCUUAACUGGGCGUUAAGUUGCAGGGUAUAGACCCGAAACCCGGUGAUCUAGCCAUGGGCAGGUUGAAGGUUGGGUAACACUAACUGGAGGACCGAACCGACUAAUGUUGAAAAAUUAGCGGAUGACUUGUGGCUGGGGGUGAAAGGCCAAUCAAACCGGGAGAUAGCUGGUUCUCCCCGAAAGCUAUUUAGGUAGCGCCUCGUGAACUCAUCUUCGGGGGUAGAGCACUGUUUCGGCUAGGGGGUCAUCCCGACUUACCAACCCGAUGCAAACUACGAAUACCGAAGAAUGUUAUCACGGGAGACACACGGCGGGUGCUAACGUCCGUCGUGAAGAGGGAAACAACCCAGACCGCCAGCUAAGGUCCCAAAGUCAUGGUUAAGUGGGAAACGAUGUGGGAAGGCACAGACAGCCAGGAUGUUGGCUUAGAAGCAGCCAUCAUUUAAAGAAAGCGUAAUAGCUCACUGGUCGAGUCGGCCUGCGCGGAAGAUGUAACGGGGCUAAACCAUGCACCGAAGCUGCGGCAGCGACACUAUGUGUUGUUGGGUAGGGGAGCGUUCUGUAAGCCUGCGAAGGUGACCUGUGAGGGUUGCUGGAGGUAUCAGAAGUGCGAAUGCUGACAUAAGUAACGAUAAAGCGGGUGAAAAGCCCGCUCGCCGAAAGACCAAGGGUUCCUGUCCAACGUUAAUCGGGGCAGGGUGAGUCGACCCCUAAGGCGAGGCCGAAAGGCGUAGUCGAUGGGAAACAGGUUAAUAUUCCUGUACUUGGUGUUACUGCGAAGGGGGGACGGAGAAGGCUAUGUUAGCCGGGCGACGGUUGUCCCGGUUUAAGCAUGUAGGCGGAGGUUCCAGGUAAAUCCGGUACCUUUUAACGCUGAGGUGUGAUGACGAGGCACUACGGUGCUGAAGUAACAAAUGCCCUGCUUCCAGGAAAAGCCUCUAAGCAUCAGGUAACAUUAAAUCGUACCCCAAACCGACACAGGUGGUCAGGUAGAGAAUACCAAGGCGCUUGAGAGAACUCGGGUGAAGGAACUAGGCAAAAUGGUGCCGUAACUUCGGGAGAAGGCACGCUGGUGUGUAGGUGAAGCCCCUGCGGGUGGAGCUGAGACCAGUCGAAGAUACCAGCUGGCUGCAACUGUUUAUUAAAAACACAGCACUGUGCAAACACGAAAGUGGACGUAUACGGUGUGACGCCUGCCCGGUGCCGGAAGGUUAAUUGAUGGGGUUAUCCGUAAGGAGAAGCUCUUGAUCGAAGCCCCGGUAAACGGCGGCCGUAACUAUAACGGUCCUAAGGUAGCGAAAUUCCUUGUCGGGUAAGUUCCGACCUGCACGAAUGGCGUAAUGAUGGCCAGGCUGUCUCCACCCGAGACUCAGUGAAAUUGAACUCGCUGUGAAGAUGCAGUGUACCCGCGGCAAGACGGAAAGACCCCGUGAACCUUUACUAUAGCUUGACACUGAACAUUGAGCCUUGAUGUGUAGGAUAGGUGGGAGGCUUUGAAGCGUGGACGCCAGUCUGCGUGGAGCCAACCUUGAAAUACCACCCUUUAAUGUUUGAUGUUCUAACGUUGGCCCCUUAUCGGGGUUGCGGACAGUGUCUGGUGGGUAGUUUGACUGGGGCGGUCUCCUCCCAAAGAGUAACGGAGGAGCACGAAGGUUAGCUAAUCCUGGUCGGACAUCAGGAGGUUAGUGCAAUGGCAUAAGCUAGCUUGACUGCGAGCGUGACGGCGCGAGCAGGUGCGAAAGCAGGUCAUAGUGAUCCGGUGGUUCUGAAUGGAAGGGCCAUCGCUCAACGGAUAAAAGGUACUCCGGGGAUAACAGGCUGAUACCGCCCAAGAGUUCAUAUCGACGGCGGUGUUUGGCACCUCGAUGUCGGCUCAUCACAUCCUGGGGCUGAAGUAGGUCCCAAGGGUAUGGCUGUUCGCCAUUUAAAGUGGUACGCGAGCUGGGUUUAGAACGUCGUGAGACAGUUCGGUCCCUAUCUGCCGUGGGCGCUGGAGAAUUGAGGGGGGCUGCUCCUAGUACGAGAGGACCGGAGUGGACGCAUCACUGGUGUUCGGGUUGUCAUGCCAAUGGCACUGCCCGGUAGCUAAAUGCGGAAGAGAUAAGUGCUGAAAGCAUCUAAGCACGAAACUUGCCCCGAGAUGAGUUCUCCCUGAGACUUUAAGUCUCCUGAAGGAACGUUGAAGACGACGACGUUGAUAGGCCGGGUGUGUAAGCGCAGCGAUGCGUUGAGCUAACCGGUACUAAUGAACCGUGAGGCUUAACCUU